rnacentral:rRNA from 1 species
AGUGGCGGACGGGUGAGUAACGCGUAAGAAUCUAACUUCAGGACGGGGACAACAGUGGGAAACGACUGCUAAUACCCGAUGUGCCGCGAGGUGAAACCUAAUUGGCCUGAAGAAGAGCUUGCGUCUGAUUAGCUAGUUGGUGGGGUAAGAGCCUACCAAGGCGACGAUCAGUAGCUGGUCUGAGAGGAUGAGCAGCCACACUGGGACUGAGACACGGCCCAGACUCCUACGGGAGGCAGCAGUGGGGAAUUUUCCGCAAUGGGCGAAAGCCUGACGGAGCAACGCCGCGUGAGGGAGGAAGGUCUUUGGAUUGUAAACCUCUUUUCUCAAGGAAGAAGUUCUGACGGUACUUGAGGAAUCAGCCUCGGCUAACUCCGUGCCAGCAGCCGCGGUAAUACGGGGGAGGCAAGCGUUAUCCGGAAUUAUUGGGCGUAAAGCGUCCGCAGGUGGUCAGCCAAGUCUGCCGUCAAAUCAGGUUGCUUAACGACCUAAAGGCGGUGGAAACUGGCAGACUAGAGAGCAGUAGGGGUAGCAGGAAUUCCCAGUGUAGCGGUGAAAUGCGUAGAGAUUGGGAAGAACAUCGGUGACGAAAGCGUGCUACUGGGCUGUAUCUGACACUCAGGGACGAAAGCUAGGGGAGCGAAAGGGAUUAGAUACCCCUGUAGUCCUAGCCGUAAACGAUGGAUACUAGGCGUGGCUU